rnacentral:rRNA from 1 species
GACGAACGCUGGCGGCGUGCCUAAUACACGCAAGUAGGACGCAGUUGCGAACGGGUGAGUAACGCGUAGGUAACUACCUAUUAGAGGGGGAUAACUAUUGGAAACGAUCGCUAAUACCGCAUACUAGUAGAUGGACCUGCGUUGUAUUCGCUCGGAGGUAGGGUAAUGGCCUACCUAGGCAACGAGACCUAGACGAACUGAGAGGGUGAUGGGCCAAACUGGGACUGAGACACGGCCCAGACGCCGACGGGAGGCAGCAGUAGGGAAUCUUCGGCAGUGGGGGGAAGCCUGACCGAGCGACGCCGCGUGAGUGAAGAAGGUUUUAGGAUCGUAAAGCUCUGUUGUUAAGGAAGCGGUACUUAAACAGAAAGGGACGGGUAACUACGUGCCAGCGACCGAGGUAAUAC